rnacentral:tRNA from 1 species
GCGUCGGCCGAGCAGUGCUUCACGAACUGCUGCUGCCACUCGCCGGCGGAGCGGCUCGCCUGGGCGCGGGCCCGGGGGUGCGAAGCCUCCGUCCGCGCG